rnacentral:lncRNA from 1 species
UCCUGGGGGGGGUAUUUUGGGGGGAGGGGGGGGAAUGGAGGAUGCCCCCCCACCUCCCCUUGACCUUUGACCUUUUCCCUCCCAGCCCUGCCCCCCCCGGGGGGGUCGGGGGAGGGGCGGGCGGCUGAGGCCGCGGCUGCUUUGGCCGACGCCGACGCCGACCUGGAGGAACGGCUGAAGAACCUGCGCCGGGAUUGACCCCCGACCUCCGACCCCUGACCCCCGACCUCCCGUCCCUCGCCCUGACCUACCACCCCGGGGUCGACCUCCACGGCCCUGUGGUGACCUAUGACCCCAGGGUUGUCCUCUUUGAUCUAUGGCUUGGUGUUGACCUCGUGGUGGUGACCUAUGACUCCAGGGUUGACCUUUGCGACCCCAGAGCUGACCCAUGGCAACCUACGACCCCAGGGUUAACCUCCAGGGCCCUAGGGUUGACCCCAUGGUGACCUAUGACCCUGGGGUUGACCUCGUCGAUCUACGGCCGGGUGUUGACCCAAUGACGACCUACGACCCCAGGGUUGACCUCUUCAACCUACGACCCCGGGGUUGACCCCAUGGUGACCUACAACCCUGGGGUUGACCCCAUGGCGACCUACGACCCCAGGGUUGACCUCCAGGGCCCUAGGGUUGACCCCAUGGCAACCUACGACCCCAGGGUUGACCUCUUCAACCUACGACCCCGGGGUUGACCCCAUGGUAACCUACGACCCCAGGGUUGACCUCUUCAACCUAUGACCCCAGGGUUAACCCCAUGGCGACCUACGACCACGGGAUUGACCCCAUGGCAACCUACGACCCCAGGGUUGACCUCUUCAACCUAUGACUCCAGGGUUGACCUCUUCAACCUACGACCCCGGGGUGAACCCCAUGGUGACCUACGACCCCAGGGUUGACCUCUUCGAUCUACGACCCCAGGGUUGACCCCAUGGUGACCUACGACCACAGGGUUGACCUCUUCAACCUACGACCCCAGGGUUGACCUCUUCGAUCUACGACCUGGUGUUGACCCCAUGGUGACCUGUGACCCCGGAGCUGCCCAGCGGUGACCUCUGACCUGCCGUCACCUUUGACCUUGGCCAACAAUGACCCCACCCCGACCCCUCUGUGACCUCCUGGUGACCCCUGACCCCCCCCCAGGGGCAGACCCCUUUGACCUCUGGCCUUGACCUGGGGUGACCUUUGACCCCAGGAGCCCCCAGUGACCUUUGACCCUGCCCAACUCUCCCUGGGCAGAGCCGGGGGAGGCAGCUCAGACACUAAUGGACAUUUGCUCCCCCCAGGGGUAUUUGCCCCCCCCCCCCCUCUCGGGGUCUUUCCCCCCCCCGGCAUUUUCUGCA